rnacentral:rRNA from 1 species
CCUACGGGUGGCAGCAGUGAGGAAUAUUGGUCAAUGGGCGAGAGCCUGAACCAGCCAAGUCGCGUGAGGGAGUACUGCCCUAUGGGUUGUAAACCUCUUUUGUCGGGGAGCAAAAGCCGGACGUGUCCGGCUGUGAGAGUACCCGAAGAAAAAGCAUCGGCUAACUCCGGGCCAGCAGCCGCGGUAAUACGGAGGAUGCGAGCGGUAUCCGGAUUUAUUGGGUUUAAAGGGUGCGCAGGCGGAUUUUUAAGUCAGCGGUAAAAUCGUGGGGCUCAACCCCAUCCAGCCGUUGAAACUGGGGAUCUAGAGUGUGCGAGAGGUAUGCGGAAUGCGUGGUGUAGCGGUGAAAUGCAUAGAUAUCACGCAGAACCCCGAUUGCGAAGGCAGCAUACCGGUGCACAACUGACGCUCAGGCACGAAAGCGUGGGUAUCGAACAGGAUUAGAUACCCUGGUAGUC